GACAGAGGGUGCAAACGUUGUUCGGAGUUACUGGGCGUAAAGGGUGUGUAGGCGGUUGUUUAAGUUUGGGGUGAAAUCUCCCGGCUCAACUGGGAGGGUGCGCCGAAUACUGAAUGACUCGAGUGUGGGAGAGGUGAGUGGAAUUCCUGGUGUAGCGGUGAAAUGCGUAGAUAUCAGGAGGAACACCGGUGGUGUAGACGGCUCACUGGACCAUAACUGACGCUGAGACACGAAAGCGUGGGUAGCAAACAGG
rnacentral:rRNA from 1 species